UACAGAGGUCUCAAGCGUUGUUCGGAUUCAUUGGGCGUAAAGGGUGCGUAGGCGGCGCGGUAAGUCGGGUGUGAAAUCUCGGGGCUUAACUCCGAAACUGCAUUUGAUACUGCGGUGCUUGAGGACUGGAGAGGAGACUGGAAUUUACGGUGUAGCGGUGAAAUGCGUAGAUAUCGUAAGGAAGACCAGUGGCGAAGGCGGGUCUCUGGACAGUUCCUGACACUGAGGCACGAAGGCCAGGGGAGCAAACGGG
rnacentral:rRNA from 1 species